GGGAAGGGCCGAGCCCGACCAGCGNCCGCUGACCGCGCACGGAGCGAGCGAUGAAGGGAGGGAGCGAGGGAGGGAGGGGGCGCGAGCGGCGCUGGCGCGGGGCGGAGGGGGCGGGGCUCUCGCAUCCGGGUACUCCGCCGCGCCGGUGGGCGGGGCAAGGCCGUGACGUCACCGGCGGGGUGGGGAGGUGGGAGCGCAAAAUGGCGGUGCGGUGAUUGUGGAGUUGUCAGGGGCGGGAGAGGCUUUUGAGGUCAUCGAGUCCAACCGUCAGCGCGGCAUUGCCGCUGUGACUCUAACCUCAGAACUCUAAACUCCCAAAACACUAAACUACAUCACCCAGCGCCAAAUUCAGGCGCCUCUUAAACACCUCGGGGGUUGGUGAUUCCACCACCUCCUUCGGCAGUUCAUUCCAAUGUUCGGCCACCAGACCAGUAAAAAAGACCUUUUUGUCUACUGUCUAGCCUCGAUCUCCCUUGUCUCAGCUUGAGGCCGUGUUUGAGGUCCUCUCACUGCAGUGUAGAAGGGGCUGGACUCCAGUUACCUGGGGAGAGCCAUGAGGUCCCCCUGAGCCUCGUCCGGGCUAAACUACCCCGGGUCCCUCAGCCGCUCCUCAUAAAUGUGUGGGGAAAAGUGCUGAGCCUGGCUAAAUGUGUACUGUGGGGCUGCAGUGAGUGGCUUGAAAAGGUCUCCAAAGAUGCGGAUUUCCUGACCUGUGCAGUAGGUGCCUCUGCCCAGGGAAAGGCUCCCUCAGGAAAACUGCCAGAGCUGCUGGUUGUCCUUGAGCUCCCAAACACCCUCUGCUUAGACUGGUCUUCCUCAGCUGUAACCUAUAUGCAGCAAGGAGGAAGCUUGAGCAGGAAGAAGCAAGAGUGGCUCAAGGGAGAUUGCACAGAAGAGUCUGGCAAAAGCAACUAA
rnacentral:lncRNA from 1 species